rnacentral:misc_RNA from 1 species
UCCGAGCAGAGAACUUGACCGACACAAGGCUACGCGAGCACGGGCAAGGACAUCCGGAACAUGUCCCGUUUCGAUUCUGGUGGACAUCGGGGGCACAGUAUUUCCUUGAUUUUCUGAGGAGUUUUAGCUUUUUAGAAAGCUGCCGGUAGAAGGAGUCGAUUAAGGUGGUGAAGUGUGUGUGAGUGGCGAGGAUUAUCCGGACGUCAAGAAGAGAGCAUCGAAGCUUUGGCAACUAAAUCAUGGUGUUGUUAGAGCCCAAGAGUCGACGUGAGUGAGAAGAGGUUAGUGAUUUGUGGAACGGAACGGAUUAAGGAGCUUAAACGAGGAGUGAUAAUAGCUGUGCCUUGAGGCUGGCUGGCUGGUGAGAAAGAGUGGGGGUCGUGCUGGAGGAGAAUUUAUUCCGCAAAUUAGUGUACCGGAAGGAUAUUGUUACUGAUGGUGGAGGUGAAAUUGAGGCUAAAGUGGUGAAGCGUGGUGAUUAGGAUGUUCGAACAACGAAGUUACUACGUGUCAACGAUGAGCAUGUUGGUGUUCUAGAGCCGCAAACAUGGACCAUGGAAUGGCCGCCGGUAGUAAUAGAAGCAAUUAACGUCAACCAACCAACAGAAGAAGCAGAAGAGGAAGAAGACGUCGUCCCCAUCGGUAGUGGUAGUGACGGUGACGACGGAGCAACAACAUGAUCGAUAACAUCAUGACGCGUGACAGCGAAAUACCGGCCAUUUUCAACCCGAAACGUGUUCGCGCCCCCUCCGUCGUUGUGACAGGAGACUCGCCAAACGGACCCUUCGGUGGGUUCACCAACAAUGUGCCACAGAUCACGCACUCGGACUCGGUGACCUCGAGCCAGCACGACGGCCAGGACAGCCUGAUCGGGGUGACCGUGACGGGGAUGGGUUGCGACACGCCCACCUCCGGCCACGGCGGAGUCCUCGGGCUGGGUAGUCUCGGGUUGGGAGGCGGGGGCGGAGGCGGCUUGAUGGGCAACAGCAGCGGUGGCAGCGGACCAGGUGGUGGCGCCGGAGCCGUGCCGGGAACUCCGACGCCACCGACGUCCCGGCUGAAGGCGUGCCGCGCUUCGUGCUGCUCGGAACUGGCCCAGAAGAUGUACUUCGGGGUGUGCGUCACGAUCCUGGUGACGGCGUCGUGGGUCGGAGCGACGCACUGCAUCAAGUUUUUGUACCUCCGGCGGAACGCGUACGCGUCGACGUUGCCACCCCAUCUGACGGCGUUCAUCACGGACAGUGAGAGCAUCUUGACGGUAGCGGCAGCCGAUGCACCGGUCGGGCACAACCCGCUGAACUCGUCCUCGGCGAUGAUCGUGCACGGGUUCGGUCCGACGACGUCGUUUAUGCCGUCUACGACGAAGCCGAUUGUGACGUCGGACCGGGUGGUUCCGCUGAAUCCGGGUCAUAUCUUUAACGCACCGUUUUUUGCUUCUUGGUUCUGCACGAACUUUGCCAUUCUGUUCUUCCCGAUCUACAUUCUGGGACGGGUGGCGAUCAAGAAGUGUGACGGAACGGGCGAAGUUCUGGGCGAGAUCCUGCGGGGUUUCCGGGAUCGGGGCUUCACGAUUGGACGGUUUCUGAACAGGUGCCUGACGUUCUGCAUCCUGUGGCUGCUGACGACGUAUCUGUAUGCGCUGUCGCUGAAGGCCCUGCUGGCCACGGACGUGAUGGCACUGUUUGCGACGAACGUGGCCUGUGUGUACCUGCUGGCGUGGGUCAUCUUGCAGGAGCAGUUUGUCGGAGUUAGGAUCGUAGCUGUCAUUCUAUGCGACACGGGGAUUGCGCUGCUGGCCUACAUGGACGGAAUUACGGGUAGCCCAACGCUGGGUGGAGUCGUGCUGGCAGCACUGGCCGCUGCCGGGUACGCCGUGUUUAAGGUGAUGUUCCGCAAGGUGAUGGGUGACCCACCGGUCGGCCAAAUUGCGUUCACCUUCUCCAUCAUUGGCUUCCUGAACGCGGCCAUUCUGUGGCCAGUGUGCAUCGCGCUGUACUUUACCGGGGCAGAAGUGAUGCCCUGGGAGCCGCUGCCGUGGAUCGUGCUGCUAAUGGCCAGCAUACUUCUGCUAGUUUUCCACAUCUUGACGCAGUUUAGCAGCGCCGUUACGUACAACAUGUUCGUUACAUUAGGUUUAAUCACGGCAGUGCCAGUGUCAGCAGCGCUAGACAUCGUGCUGUACGGUGCGCACUUUGCCGGAAUGAAGCUGGCGGGUAUUAUAUUAAUAGCCGUCGGCUUCUUCCUGGUCAUGUUCCCCGACAACUGGCCCGACUACAUAACCCGGCUGCUCAGAAAUAUCAUCUUGUUGGGUCACAACGCGAGUCGACGACGACCGCAACAACGACCACCAAAAGUGAGCAAUUAAUCCAAACCACCGCCAGAUGUCACCCGGCCCCCGCUUCUCGGUGGUUCAAGGACGGAACGCGAGAGGUCACCACCGCCACCCGGUCAAGAUGGGGCCGUCAUCCGCGAAGCGGAACUCCCUCCCAUCAUCGCGACGUCAUCGACUAUCGGACGGGCUACAUUCGAUCGCAUCUUCGCUCUCCCUCUGGCAGGGUGAGAUGACCGCCGAGCAGCAACAGCAGC